GACGGAGGAUGCAAGUGUUAUCCGGAAUCACUGGGCGUAAAGCGUCUGUAGGUGGUCAAAUAAGUCAACUGUUAAAUCUUGAGGCUCAACCUCAAAACCGCAGUCGAAACUAUUAGACUAGAGUAUAGUAGGGGUAAAGGGAAUUUCCAGUGGAGCGGCGAAAUGCGUAGAGAUUGGAAAGAACACCGAUGGCGAAGGCACUUUACUGGGCUAUGACUAACACUCAGAGACGAAAGCUAGGGUAGCAAAUGGG
rnacentral:rRNA from 1 species